UGAGCAAUCUGCCCUUCACAUCGGAAUAACAGUUGGAAACAGCUGCUAAUACCGGAUACGACCUCCGACGGCAUCAUCUGGAGGUGGAAAGCUCCGACGGUCAAGGAUGAGCUCGCGGCCUAUCAGCUAGUUGGUGUGGGUAAUGGCCCACAAGGCGACGACGGGUAGCCGGUCUGAGAGGGCGAUCGGCCACACUGGGACUGAGACACGGCCCAGACUCCGUACGGGG
rnacentral:rRNA from 1 species